UACGGAGGGUGCGAGCGUUAAUCGGAAUUACUGGGCGUAAAGGGUGCGUAGGUGGUUAAUUAAGCCAUUUGUGAAAGGUCAGGGCUUAACCUUGGCAUGUCAAGUGGAACUGGUUGACUUGAGUAUGGGAGAGGGUAGUGGAAUUUCCGGUGUAGCGGUGAAAUGCGUAGAUAUCGGAAGGAACACCGGUGGCGAAGGCGUCUACCUGGCCUAAUACUGACACUGAGGCACGAAAGCGUGGGUAGCAAACAGG
rnacentral:misc_RNA from 1 species